rnacentral:rRNA from 1 species
AAUCCAUAGGUUAAUGAGGCGAACCGGGGGAACUGAAACAUCUAAGUACCCCGAGGAAAAGAAAUCAACCGAGAUUCCCCCAGUAGCGGCGAGCGAACGGGGAGGAGCCCAGAGCCUGAAUCAGCAUGUGUGUUAGUGGAAGCGUCUGGAAAGGCGCGCGAUACAGGGUGACAGCCCCGUACACAAAAGCGCAUGUGCUGUGAGCUCGAUGAGUAGGGCGGGACACGUGGUAUCCUGUCUGAAUAUGGGGGGACCAUCCUCCAAGGCUAAAUACUCCUGACUGACCGAUAGUGAACCAGUACCGUGAGGGAAAGGCGAAAAGAACCCCGGCGAGGGGAGUGAAAAAGAACCUGAAACCGUGUACGUACAAGCAGUGGGAGCACCCUUUGGGUGUGACUGCGUACCUUUUGUAUAAUGGGUCAGCGACUUAUAUUCUGUAGCAAGGUUAACCGAAUAGGGGAGCCGGAGGGAAACCGAGUCUUAAUUGGGCGUUAAGUUGCAGGGUAUAGACCCGAAACCCGGUGAUCUAGCCA